UUUCCUUUUUCCUCUUCCCGUUCUAUUCUCUAGACCUAAACCCAAAGCUCUCGUUUUUUUUCCUCUAAUCUAAAAACCCUGUCUCUAAGCCGGUCUCCUCACUCACUCUUCCCCGAUCCCUCUCCUUCUCUCUCUCUCUCCUGCUCCCUCAACUACGACGGCGAGGGGAUAUACGAGGCUUCAACCACGGUGGAGGUCGACGGGGCUGACAGAGGCUCAGCGGGACUGCCGGAGGCUCGACGACGUGGACUCGGAGACUCGUUGGUGUAGGUAAAGAUCUUUCUCUCUCUCGUUUUGUUUUAUAGUCAACGUCGACUGGAUGGCGUGGGCUGGAUAUGGUGGUGCGAUGAGGUGCCAUGGGUGUUCAAUUCCUGGUUUGUGUAUUUUUUUUAUUAUUGUAAAGCAAUUUAUUUAUUUCUUUUUGUUUAAAUGGUUCUCGUAUCUUGCUUUGUGCAGUCAAAUUGAAGGAGUGAAGUCCACUCGACUUCCCUCUUAUGCCACUUUUCCCCAUGUUUUGGCUUCAAACGGAGUGAACCCCUAGAGACCUUGAAGGAAACGAUGCAUUCUAGUGGAUGAGAAUGACUAGGUUGUUGGUCAUGAUACAAAAUAUAAUUGUCACUUGAUGGAAAAGAUUGAAAAGGAAAAUUUGCUACACAGGGCUUUCAGUGUGUUUUUGUUCAACUCGAAAUACAAGUUGCUUCUUCAGCAACGUUCUGCAACAAAGGUAACGUUUCCCCUUGUGUGGACAAACACCUGUUGCAACCAUCCACUCUACCGUGAAUCUGAGCUAGUAAG